UGUUCAGAAAAACCAUGAUCAGAAUGGUGUA
rnacentral:piRNA from 1 species